rfam:Lentisphaera araneosa HTCC2155 1101329224557, whole genome shotgun sequence.
CCUAGCUCUGGCGAGCCAGGCUAAGUUAUGUCGUGCUUUCAGCACU